rnacentral:rRNA from 1 species
UACAGAGGGGGCAAGCGUUAUUCGGAAUUAUUGGGCGUAAAGGGCGCGUAGGCGGCCAUUCAAGUGACGGGUGAAAGCCCUCGGCUUAACCGAGGAACUGCCUGUCAGACUGGAUGGCUUGAGACCGGGAGAGGUGAGUGGAAUUCCCAGUGUAGCGGUGAAAUGCGUAGAUAUUGGGAGGAACACCGGUGGCGAAGGCGGCCCUCUGGACCGGUACUGACGCUGAUGCGCGAAAGCGUGGGGAGCAAACGGG